rnacentral:rRNA from 1 species
UACGUAGGGUGCGAGCGUUGUCCGGAAUUAUUGGGCGUAAAGAGCUUGUAGGCGGUUUGUCGCGUCUGCUGUGAAAAUCCGGGGCUCAACCCCGGGCUUGCAGUGGGUACGGGCAGACUAGAGUGUGGUAGGGGAGACUGGAAUUCCUGGUGUAGCGGUGGAAUGCGCAGAUAUCAGGAGGAACACCGAUGGCGAAGGCAGGUCUCUGGGCCACUACUGACGCUGAGAAGCGAAAGCAUGGGGAGCGAACAGG